rnacentral:rRNA from 1 species
AUUGAACGCUGGCGGCAUGCCUUACACAUGCAAGUCGAACGGUAACAGGUCUUCGGAUGCUGACGAGUGGCGAACGGGUGAGUAAUACAUCGGAACGUGCCCGAUCGUGGGGGAUAACGAGGCGAAAGCUUUGCUAAUACCGCAUACGAUCUACGGAUGAAAGCGGGGGAUCUUCGGACCUCGCGCGGACGGAGCGGCCGAUGGCAGAUUAGGUAGUUGGUGGGAUAAAAGCUUACCAAGCCGACGAUCUGUAGCUGGUCUGAGAGGAUGAUCAGCCACACUGGGACUGAGACACGGCCCAGACUCCUACGGGAGGCAGCAGUGGGGAAUUUUGGACAAUGGGCGAAAGCCUGAUCCAGCCAUGCCGCGUGCAGGAUGAAGGCCUUCGGGUUGUAAACUGCUUUUGUACGGAACGAAAAGCCUCUUUCUAAUAAAGAGGGGUCAUGACGGUACCGUAAGAAUAAGCACCGACUAACUACGUG